rnacentral:lncRNA from 1 species
AACAAACUCUUUCACUCCUUCUAUGUACUCCUUUGACGCUCGAUUCGCAGACACCCAUUUCCGAUCCAUAGUUCCUAGAUCUUGAUAGUUAGCUGUCGGGAAUAGUUAGUUUGAGUUUAUUGGUAACAAAUAUUACUAGUUAAAAUUUGGUUCUAACAACCGAGUUAUGAAUCGUAUGCUUAAGGAUUCACUGCCCAACAACUAAGGACUCCAACAGAUAACUACUCCAAAUUGUUUUUUUUAAACAGGAACUACUCCAAAUUGUUAAAUUAGAGAACUACCAAUAAUCCCAUAAACUUUGGGUCGACCCAUAGUUUAUUCUUAGUUUGUACCAACAUUUAAAUAGUUGCUUUUAAUCAUCAAGAAUUCCUACCACUAUUAUCCACCUCAUCAUAUUAAUUUUCAUUAUCUUUUGCAAUAACUAACUUUUGACCAUGACUUUAAGUACAGAAAAAGAAGUCAAUACCUUGAUCCGUAUGUUUGAUUCUUCUCACACCAGUAGCAGUUGGCACCACGCUGAUCAUAUAAGUGAAAAAAAGUUAGUCCUAUCAUUAACUAGUAACGACUUUGAAACUACUCUAAAAUCCAGUCAUAACAACGCUAUCUAUCUAUGCAUACAAUCCUUAUUGUUUAACCUUAAAACACUCUAAAAUCCAGUCAUAACAAAUUUGAAACUAGGACUUUUUUCCAAGUCCAAGUUUGGUAAAUUGAAAACACACUCCAAUUAUAAAUCAUCAAACUAAUUAGUAUAGUAUAAUAAUGCACAUUAACUUGGUAUAGUAUAAUAAUGAUGACAGAAAACCAACUUUAGACAAAAUAAAAGUACACUAGCUUACUGUAAAAAAUCAUCUAAUUAGUUGACACCUUAAACAUAAUUCACCAAUAGGAAAAUUCAAACAUAUACUAAUAUAAAUGUUCAAAUGUCAUAUUUUACUCAGCAUCACAUUAUAAUCAUCUUACCUUUUCAAAAAUCAUUUGCUCUGGUUUUUAACUAGAGUUAAAAAAAAAAAAAAAAUCCUGAGAAUUGCAAACAUAUUUUGUCCGCUAAGAACAUGCACUAAUGUAAUGUUACCAUUUCUAUGUAAAACAUUUUUAAUAUAAAAGAUGUCAGUAACAUAAUGCGCAAGGUAUGGUCACGAUCAACAACAAACAACUCAAUUGUUUCCAAGCAAUCACUCUCACAAAUAAUAUAGCUAUAGCCUUUGGUGCAACAAGAUUCAAAAACUCAUGAAACAUACAUAAUGCGCAAGGUAUGGUCACGAUCAACAACAAACAACUCAAUUGCUUCAAAGCAAUCGCUCUUACAAUUAAUGUAGCUAUAGCCUUUGGUGCAACAAGAAUAAAAAAUAAGUAUUCCUUAUUUAGUGAUCAUGCCCAACAAGAAUAAAAAAGAAGAAUAAAAAAGAAUGGCAAUAAGUAGUACCUGAUUCAAGAAUAAAGAAGAAGAAUAAAUUGAAAUAUUUGUUUAAGAGCUAAUUCCUGAUUCAGUGAUCAUGCCCAACAAGUAUUCCUGAUAUAUAAGCAUACAGCUAAAUGGUUGGUUAAGGAUGGCAAUAGGUAGUGUCGGUCCUCGUACAUGCUAACCGCACGACAACAAAGAAAUUCCAUAAGUAAUUAAAUAUAAACAUCGAGUCUAUAAAUUAAAUUUGUUCUUGUGUUCAAAUCUUUAAAUCGAAUCCAUAACACGGUAAUUCCCUAUGGACUUACAAAGUUCCCACUACAUUUUAAAUUCAAAAAACCACACAGAAAAAGCUUCAAUAACUUCAAAUCUCGUUCUGCACAGACCGGAGUAGCGCCACCGGAGAUGGACGACGAAACAAUCUCCCGCAUUAUAACAGAAAUCUCCGACCUACGCGAAACCCACCACACUGAAAAUCCACAACCACUCUCCGAAAAAUCCCUCUCUUCUCUCCAAACCCUCCUAAACCAUUCCCAACCUUUAGACCCACUCUACGACGCCGUUUCACCUUCCCACCUAAUUCCCCCAAUCGACACCGCAAUGGAUUCAUCUCCACCACCUCACUCUCUCCUUGCUUCUCACGUCUUCCUCUCCUUCCUCCCCAAACGACCCCGUUUUCACUCUCUUCACUACUCUCUCCUUUCUCUCAUUCCUUCGCUCCCUCCGUCGUGAUUUCAAAAACACGGAGCUAAAUCAUGUGGUUUAGAAUUCAAUUUCUAGGUUAUCUAAUUCAACCAUAAUAAAGAGAGAGAAUGGAAAUGUAAAAGAAGGGAAUGAAGAUCUAACCAGAGAAGAAUGAGAGAAACGAUUUCACCACCACGAUUCAGACUUCGAUUCCAACUUCUUCCUUUGAUUUCGAUUAUGACUUUGAUUUUGAUUUCAGUUUUGGACUUCAGUUUUUGAGUUGAAGGACGGUGAAGCUCUUUCGAGAAUGAAGGAAGGACGGUGGUUGGAGUGGAGAGAGAGUGGGGUUUAGUUUUGGACGGUGCAGCUCUUUCUUUUUGGAGAGAG